GACGAACGCUGGCGGCGUGCUUAACACAUGCAAGUCGAACGGAAAGGCCCUGCUUUUGUUGGGUGCUCGAUUGGCGAACGGGUGAGUAACACGUGAGUAACCUGCCCUUGACUUUGGGAUAACUUCACGAAACUGGGGCUAAUACCCGAUAGGAUCUCCUGCUGCAUGGUGGGGGUUGGAAAGUUUCGGCGGUUGGGGAUGGACUCGCGGCUUAUCAGCUUGUUGGUGGGGUAGUGGCUUACCAAGGCUUUGACGGGUAGCCGGCCUGAGAGGGUGAACGGCGACAAGGGGACUGAGAUACGCCCCAGACUGCUACGGGAGGCAGCAGUGGGAAAUAUUGCACAAUGGGCCGAAGCGAGAUGCAGCAACGCCGCGUGCGGGAUGACGGCCUUCGGGUUAUAAACCGCUUUCGCCUGUGACGAAGCGUGAGUGACGGUAAUGAGUAAAGAAGCACCGGCUAACUACGUG
rnacentral:rRNA from 1 species